rnacentral:rRNA from 1 species
AACGUAGGUGGCAAGCGUUAAUCGGAAUUACUGGGCGUAAAGCGUGCGCAGGCGGUUUUGUAAGUCUGAUGUGAAAUCCCCGGGCUCAACCUGGGAAUUGCAUUGGAGACUGCAAGGCUAGAAUCUGGCAGAGGGGGGUAGAAUUCCACGUGUAGCAGUGAAAUGCGUAGAGAUGUGGAGGAACACCGAUGGCGAAGGCAGCCCCCUGGGUCAAGAUUGACGCUCAUGCACGAAAGCGUGGGGAGCAAACAGG